UACGGAGGGUGCAAGCGUUAUCCGGAUUUACUGGGUUUAAAGGGUGUGUAGGCGGGUUUUUAAGUCAGUGGUGAAAUCUCCGGGCUCAACCUGGAAACUGCCAUUGAUACUAUUAGUCUUGAAUUCUGUUGAGGUAGGCGGAAUAAGUCAUGUAGCGGUGAAAUGCAUAGAUAUGACUUAGAACACCAACUGCGAAGGCAGCUUACUAAGCAGAUAUUGACGCUGAGGCACGAAAGCGUGGGGAGCAAACAGG
rnacentral:rRNA from 1 species